rnacentral:rRNA from 1 species
UACGGAGGGUGCGAGCGUUGUCCGGAAUCACUGGGCGUAAAGGGCGCGUAGGCGGCUCGUUAAGUGGUCGGUGAAAUCCCGGGGCUCAACUCCGGGGCUGCCGAUCAGACUGGCGGGCUCGAGCACGGUAGAGGCGGAUGGAAUUCCCGGUGUAGCGGUGGAAUGCGUAGAUAUCGGGAAGAAUACCGGUGGCGAAGGCGUUCCGCUGGGCCGUUGCUGACGCUGAGGCGCGACAGCGUAGGGGAGCAAACAGG